AACCCAUAGUGAGGGCACCGUCUCAAUAAGUCCUUGUACAUCUCCCAUGCAUCAUUUAAAGUCUUUAAAUCAAUCUGAACAAUAGAGGAGAUAUCAUUCCUCAACUU
rfam:Gossypium hirsutum cultivar TM-1 chromosome 9, whole genome shotgun sequence